UUGGGCACACGCUGCGAAGAGAUGAAAACGAGAUUUGCAAAGAGGCGCUAGAUUGGAAUCCAGAAGGUCAUCGAAGAAGAGGCAGACCCAGAAACUCGUGGCGGUGAAGCCUAGCCGCUGAAAUCCGAACUGUCGACGAGAAUCUUGACUGGGAGCAAGUGAAGACGCUGGCUCCGGAUCGUCAACAGUGGAGGUCUUUUACCACGGCCCUAUGCACCGGAGGAUCGGCGCGGGAUCAUUAAGUAAGUAAGUAAGUAAGUGACACGCCAUCUUCGUGGCAUUCGUGUCAUCGAUUUUUUUUUAAUAUGCUGAUUUUCUGGACUUUGGUAAGAUUGAUUCAAAUAUGCCUUAUUGAUUUUUUAAAACAAGCAACGGCUUUUUUCAGAACGACCGGAUUUCCCCUCGUCGAAGGAUAUGUUGCCUCAAUUUUUCGGAUGUGGGACGACAUCCGGAUCUGCCUCCAGUAGAUUUGAAACAAUACACAACCAUAAUAAUAAAGGAAAUGCUUACCAAGUACUUUUUCAGCUGGAUUAGAAAGCAUGUCUGGACCGAGAGAGAACCCCGAUUCCGAAUAUCCCCGAAGACGUCGGACGCGAUCCGGGAGUUGUCCAUAUAGUGAAGCAAAUUGUCACAGCAUGACGAGCCAGAUGUAUAGACAAGCUGGAAGAUGGUUACAAUAUAAGCCAACAAACGGGAGUUUUCAUUCAUCAAUUCCGUACCGUAGCUUUCCGGAUUCCAAUAGCUCCCGCGAAAUCACCAACUA